rnacentral:rRNA from 1 species
CCUACGGGGGGCAGCAGUGGGGAAUAUUGCACAAUGGGGGAAACCCUGAUGCAGCGACGCCGCGUGAGUGAAGAAGUAAUUCGUUACGUAAAGCUCUAUCAGCAGGGAAGAAAAUGACGGUACCUGAGUCAGAAGCCCCGGCUAACUACGUGCCAGCAGCCGCGGUAAUACGUAGGGGGCAAGCGUUAUCCGGAUUUACUGGGUGUAAAGGGAGCGUAGACGGUGCGCCAAGUCUGGAGUGAAAUGCCGCGGGUUAACUGCGGAACUGCUUUGGAAACUGGCGAACGAGAGUGCGGGUGGGGUAAGCGGAAUUCCUAGUGUAGCGGUGAAAUGCGUAGAUAUUAGGAGGAACACCGGUGGCGAAGGCGGCUCACUGGACUGCAACUGACACUGAGGCUCGAAAGUGUGGGUAUCAAACAGGAUUAGAUACCCUUGUAGUC